GAUUAAGCCAUGCAUGUCUAAGUAUAAGCAAUUAUACCGCGAAACUUUGAUAAUACUUUACUACUUGGAUAACCGUGGUAAUUCUAGAGCUAAUACAUGCUAAAAAUCCCGACUUCGGAAGGGUUGUAUUUAUUAGAUUAAAAACCAAUGCCCCUCGGGGCUCUCUGGUGAAUCAUGAUAACUAGUCGAAUCGACAGGCCUUGUGCCGGCGAUGGCUCAUUCAAAUUUCUUCCCUAUCAACUUUCGAUGUUUGGGUCUUGUCCAAACAUGGUGGCAACGGGUAACGGAGGGUUAGGGCUCGACCCCGAAGAAGGAGCCUGAGAAACGGCUACUACAUCCAAGGGAGGGCAGCAGGCGCGCAAAUCACCCAAUCCCGACACGGGGGAGGUAGUGACAAUAAAUACUGAUACAGGGCUCUUUUGGGUCUUGUAAUCGGAAUGAGUACAAUUUUAAAUCCCUUAACGAGGAACAAUUGGAGGGCAAGUCUCGAGCAGAUUAAGCCAUGCAUGUCUAAGUAUAAGCAAUUAUACCGCGAAACUUUGAUAAUACUUUACUACUUGGAUAACCGUGGUAAUUCUAGAGCUAAUACAUGCUAAAAAUCCCGACUUCGGAAGGGUUGUAUUUAUUAGAUUAAAAACCAAUGCCCCUCGGGGCUCUCUGGUGAAUCAUGAUAACUAGUCGAAUCGACAGGCCUUGUGCCGGCGAUGGCUCAUUCAAAUUUCUUCCCUAUCAACUUUCGAUGUUUGGGUCUUGUCCAAACAUGGUGGCAACGGGUAACGGAGGGUUAGGGCUCGACCCCGAAGAAGGAGCCUGAGAAACGGCUACUACAUCCAAGGGAGGGCA
rnacentral:rRNA from 1 species